ACACCGGCAGCUCUAGUGGUAGCAGUUUUUAUUGGGCCUAAAGCGUCCGUAGCCGGUUUAAUAAGUCUCUGGUGAAAUCCUGUAGCUUAACUGUGGGAAUUGCUGGAGAUACUAUUAGACUUGAGACCGGGAGAGGUUAGAGGUACUCCCAGGGUAGAGGUGAAAUUCUGUAAUCCUGGGAGGACCGCCUGUUGCGAAGGCGUCUAACUGGAACGGUUCUGACGGUGAGGGACGAAAGUUAGGGGCGCGAACCGGAUUAGAUACCCGGGUAGUCCUAACUGUAAACGAUGCGGACUUGGUGUUGGGGUGGCUUUGAGCUGCUCCAGUGCCGAAGGGAAGCUGUUAAGUCCGCCGCCUGGGAAGUACGGUCGCAAGACUGAAACUUAAAGGAAUUGGCGGGG
rnacentral:rRNA from 1 species